rnacentral:misc_RNA from 1 species
AAUUGAUAUCAUUUAAUAGUUUUUAGAAACAGUUCCAUGUGCAUUUAAAAUUUCUAUACUGUAAAAUAUACUAUACAUUUGAUUUAAUUAUGAUAUUGAAAAGAAUGCUUUAUAUAAAGUAUCUUUAUUAAAUUGUGUUGUAGUUUUAACUAUUUAUGCCCAGUUAGCUCAUUUAAUAUAGCAAUGAGUCUUAUAAUCAUAAGGUCUCUCACAUUAGAAACUUCAGAUUGCAUUCAUCCUAACUUUUUUUCUGUGGUAAAGACAACCUAUACUAGUGAAUGAAAAAUCUGAUGCUAUUGUGUAGUUAUUGGAAGGGAUAUGAGACGCUCAUAAACCUGUGAUGAACUUCCUUGCAUCGGUUGGAGGCGACGAUUACAAGCAACUUACCACGGCUAUUUUAAAACAACUAUUGACUAAAAAAGUAUGCUUGUUAUAUUUUUUGUAUGGCAGGAAACAAAAGAAAUCCUUUUCGUCUCUUACGUCCUGCAAGGUGGUUAUAGCUGCCAUAAAAAAAAAGUUUGAAAACGCUAAUGAUAAGAGCAUUAAAGAAAGAAUCGGCAGCUUUCUGGCUACGGCCAUUGAUAGAGACGGCGGAAGAAAGAAUAGAACCGCAAUUGAGCAAAGCCCACUUGCGAUGAUGAUGAUGAGAUGAGCGAUGAAAAUGAAUGUCGCGAAGAUAAUGCCCAUUAACUGAUAGUGAAUCAAUGCCCAUUAUCUGAUAGUGAGGGUGUAAUGUAAUAAAUAUAAUAUAU